ACGCUGGCGGCGUGCUAACACAUGCAGUCGAGCGAGGAUAAUCGGAAGCUUGCUUUUGAUUAUUCGAGCGGCGGACGGGUGAGUAACGCGUGAGCAAUUCUGCCUUUCGACAGGGGGAUAACGCAUCGAAAGAUGUGCUAAUACCGCGUAAGACCACGGCAUCGCAUGGUGCAGGGGUCAAAGGAGCAAUCCGGUCGAAGAUGAGCUCGCGUCCGAUUAGCCAGUUGGCGGGGUAACGGCCCACCAAAGCGACGAUCGGUAAGCCGACCUGAGAGGGUGAUCGGCCACAUUGGAACUGAGAUACGGUCCAGACUCCUACGGGAGGCAGCAGUGGGGAAUAUUGGGCAAUGGGCGAAAGCCUGACCCAGCAACGCCGCGUGAGUGAGGAAGGGUUUCGGCUCGUAAAACUCUGUCCUCAGGGACGAAAGAAAUGACGGUACCUGAGUGAGGAAGCCCCGGCUAACUACGUGCCAGCAGCCGCGGUAAUACAGUAGGGGGCGAGCGUUGUCCGGAAUGAUUGGGCGUAAAAGGGCGCGCAGGCGGCCCGACAAGUCUGGCAGUGAAAGUCCCGCUUUCAAGGUGGGAAUUGCUUUGGAAACUAUCGGGCUUGAGUGCAGGAGAGGAAAGCGGAAUUACCGGUGUAGCGGUGAAAUGCGUAGAGAUCGGUAGGAACACCAGUGGCGAAGGCGGCUUUCUGGACUGAAACUGACGCUGAGGCGCGAAAGCGUGGGGAGCAAACAGGAUUAGAUACCCUGGUAGUCCGCACGGUAAACGAUGGAUGCCCGCUGUGUGCCUGUUUAGGUGCGUGGCCAAGCGAAAGCGUUAAGCAUCCCACCUGGGGAGUACGCCGGCAACGGUGAAACUCAAAGGAAUUGACGGGGGCCCGCACAAGCGGAGGAACAUGUGGUUUAAUUCGAAGCAACGCGAAGAACCCUUACCAGGCCUUGAGAUCCGGAUGACCGUCCCGUAAUGGGGACUUUCCUUCGGGACAUCCGAGACAGGUGGUGCAUGGUUGUCGUCAGCUCGUGUCGUGAGAUGUUGGGUUAAGUCCCGCAACGAGCGCAACCCUUAUGGUCAGUAGCCAGCGAGUCAAGUCGGGCACUCUGACAAGACUGCCGGGGUCAACCCGGAGGAAGGUGGGGAUGACGUCAAAUCAUCAUGCCCCUUAUGGCCUGGGCUACACACGUGCUACAAUGGCGCCGACAAAGAGAAGCGAUCCCGUGAGGGGGAGCAAAUCCCAAAAACGGCGUCCCAGUUCGGACUGUAGUCUGCAACCCGACUACACGAAGUUGGAAUCGCUAGUAAUCGCGAAUCAGAAUGUCGCGGUGAAUACGUUCCCGGGUCUUGUACACACCGCCCGUCACACCAUGGGAGUCCGGUAACGCCCGAAGUCAGUGGUCCAACCGCAAGGA
rnacentral:rRNA from 1 species